AUUGAACGCUGGCGGCAGGCCUAACACAUGCAAGUCGAACGAGUGGCGGACGGGUGAGUAAUGUCUGGGAAACUGCCCGAUGGAGGGGGAUAACUACUGGAAACGGUAGCUAAUACCGCAUACCAUCGGAUGUGCCCAGGUGGGAUUAGCUAGUAGGUGGGGUAACGGCUCACCUAGGCGACGAUCCCUAGCUGGUCUGAGAGGAUGACCAGCCACACUGGAACUGAGACACGGCCCAGACUCCUACGGGAGGCAGCAGUGGGGAAUAUUGCGCAAUGGGCGCAAGCCUGAUGCAGCCAUGCCGCGUGAAUGAAGAAGGCCUUAGGGUUGUAAAGUUCUUUCAGCGGGGAGGCGUUACUCACAGAAGAAGCACCGGCUAACUCCGUGCCAGCGGCCGCGGUAAUAC
rnacentral:rRNA from 1 species